AUCUGUGGGUGCUUCUUGUCUGCACUGUCAAUAACUGAUUGCUCUCAAUAAAAUCAGUAAAAUUUACCAUGGAUUUUGUCAAAGAAUUUCUUUAUGUGUCUGACCACGCUGGGUUCCUUGAACUGACCACUGAAACAUGGAAGAACAUGUGGUUUCCAUCUCAGAUACCCUUGAGUUCGGAUGUGGCGGGCAUUGCCCAGCUUAAUGAAACAGACAGAGAAUUUUAUAAAUUCUUGUUUGUUUUCUUGGGAUUGGCUGAGAGGCUGGUCAACUUUAACAUCGAGGACCUGGUCAAGGAGUUUAAUUGCCAUGACGCCACUCAUUACUAUGCAGAGCAGAUGGCCAUGGAGAAUAUUCAUGGGAAGGUUUAUGCCAAUAUUCUACAAUUAUUUUUUAAUGGUGACAUGAUGAAGCUGAAGGAGUAUGCAGUAAAGGUGGUGGCUGACCCUACCUUGAAAGCCAAACUUGACUGGCUACAUACCAGGGUCAAGAAUACAAAAACUAGGGCUGAAAAGGUCCUGAUAUUUCUGUUGAUUGAAGGGAUAUUUUUUAUAUCCUCCUUUUACAGCAUCAGUCUCUUCAGAGUGAGGGGGAUGCUUAAUGGGAUCUGUUUGGCCAAUGAUUACAUUUCUAAAGAUGAACUGCUACACACGCGAGCCGCUGCUGUUCUGUACAAUAGUCUAAUACCGGCCAAAGAGCGCCCAGAUGCCGCCUGGAUCAAAAGACUGUUCCAGGAAGCAGUUGAGGUGGAAUAUUCCUUUAUUGCUGCCAAGAGCAAGAACGUGACGCUGGUGGUUCCUGGUGAAAUUAAAAAGUUUUUACAAGCCACCUGUGAUAGAAUUUUGCAGAGUAUUGGGGUGGAGCCAAUCUAUGGCUCCCACGCCCCAGUCACGUGUCCUCUGAGCUACAACGGCUGCAUAAAAAGUGUUAACUUUUUUGAGAGGGAGGGAACUGAUUACUCAACCAAGGUGACUAAUGAUUUGUAAGCAGCGCAGUUUGGAAAGUGAUGUGUGUGCUCUCAUUCCACCCUAUUUAAGAGGGAGACAAACUCUGAGUUGUGCAUCUACUCUUUCUGCUUCUGAGAAGAGCAUUGUUUUAACCCUUUACAAUGCAGACCUUCCAGCUUGACACUGAGCGCCUCUGCCAGGCAGCUAAGCUGUACCAGCACACCAAGUCUGACUUUGGCCUGAAUGGCAUGAUCCAGCUUUCUGGUUCAUGUAAUAAUAUGUCACUAUCUGUACUGGGAUCGAUUGGAGGCUGUGCUAUUCUGAGAUUGGAAUUGUUGGAGGCUGCCCGGCUCCAUUCAUCUAAAGACAGCUCCAAGUCUGCCAUUUACAGCUUUCGUAACGCAAGCUCCCUUGGAAGAGAAUUUACUCAUGGUGGAGAACUCUUUGGCCCCAAAAUGGAAUCUGCCUCCCUGUCUUUUUAUGGCCAUCAUGGAGUGAAAUAUGUGGAGGCACAAUUUGUGCAUGACAGCAGCAGCAAGACUGUACAUACUGCUGCUAUGCAGCCCAUCACCAUACCACCUUCGUGUGCCUUUGAUGAUCGUGAGGCCAAUGGUAUAGUGACAUUGUCAACAAAAACUGCAGCGGCGCUGGUCAAGUGGUUGAAGCAGCAUACAAAAACCUGCCAGUCACCAGUUAAGGUUUCUAUCAGUGAAAUCUUGGGUGUGAUGGUUCUUUCAGUUGGAGAUGCUAGCAUGACUGUUGAUGUCACUCCGGUGAAUGUUUCAUCUGGCAAGAAGACACGGGGUGGGAAUAAGGCUAGUGACUCUGGGACUAUCUCUGCAGACGCAACGGUGCAUGUUAAUGGACAUUGUUUGAUUAGAUCUUUGAUUGUAUGUAAAGUUCCUGGGUGUACAACUCCAAGAGUCAAGUUUCACGCCUGUGGCAUAUUAGAGGUAGAUGGGGCCCCCGUUAAACAGGGCGAGUUGACACAGGUAAAAUUGUCAGUGGCCCUCCUGAACGUGGACUCUUCAACUGGCAGAGUUUUGAAGGAACCUGUGGUGACUGGAGCAAGUAAAGAUCGAGGGGCUUCAAAGUCAGAAGACGCGGACGGUAGCCCUCCAGUACCAGAUCAUCCCAAAGAAUCCCUCACUAGCGACUCUGAUUCCUCAGUUCCUGGGCCACGAAGUACUGACCUUUCCUCUCUUACCCACACCCCUUCAGAUAGAUUUUCGAGCGACCUUAGAUCAGGGUGUGGGGGGCAACAGUUCCUCAAGAGACCACCCCCUAAGAAAGACAGGGAACCCACCACUAAGCGCCCCAAGCUACAUUUUAACCACUUCCCAUAAAUGAAGAGUCAUUGGUCAGACGUGUUCCUCCCACUCAUUGUGGGAGGAAUGUCUGCUGUUCCCUUUAUCUGGUGUUUAAUUUUUAGAACCCUUUACCUACCAAUAGAAUGUGACUGGAGAUGCUGGAUUUUUGUAUAUGGAUCAAUGAUUUGGCACAUAACCAUGUUUAUGUCACUAUUGUUUAAACAUAAACAUGGGAUGAUUGGCUGGUUUAAGUUGUGUAGUGCAGUUGCCAUAUGUCUGAUUAUAGUUUUGGCUCUUUUAGAACAAUACUGCCCAUAUGAGAUGUACAUUGUUCCUGUUAUAUUCAUAAUAAAUAUAGUUUUGCUUUCCACAUGGGUUCCCAUGGCACUUAUUUCAACAUACAUGUGCAACAGAAUAUAUGCACGCCUCUUGGAACUGGGAUUUUUGGCUGCCAUAAUAGGUUAUUAUGUGAUGUUGCAAAUUGGGGCACAAGAGUCUCCUGCCUUCUGGAUUCCCAUACCAGUGUUGCAUAUUGGGGGAGUGUAUGCUCUUCUCCACUUUAGAACAAGGCCCUGCUUUUUGCACUCUGUUGAAAAAAGACAUAGUAUCUACUACUUUGGAAAUAAUAAGUAUACCGUCUACCCCUGCGAGACCAUUGUGAGGAUGUGCAGCCCUGAAAUUUCCCUGAUGAUUAUUUUGAUUAUGAUGCUGGCCAUUGGCUUCCCCAUCCUGGCAUAUUAUGUGAAAAUUGUUCAAGGUAUGCAAUACUUCUACAUGUUCCUGAUGCUGGGACCAAUGGUAGGGGGCCUAAUUUUUGACAGCAAGAUUGUGGGCACCUUCUUCAUGAUGUUGGCAUUGGUGACUAUGAUUUUUGCUGGAAUUGCACCUGUCUGGUUUCCUCUCAUGGCAGAAAGGACCUUUGUUAUAUCCCUGAUAUUAGCCAACUUUUCUGCUGGCUGCUUUCUGGAAUGUAUGCGUGUCAAGUUAAGGAGAGCCAUAAAUGGUGUCUAUUUUGUUUAUCUAGUAACUGUUUUAUACAAUCUGUUAGUGGCCCUUAUCAUGAUUGCUGUAAGCAUGUAAUUAAUAAAAGACAAAACAGAUAUGC
rnacentral:tmRNA from 1 species